CCUACGGGUGGCAGCAGUAGGGAAUAUUGCUCAAUGGGGGAAACCCUGAUGCAGCAACGCCGCGUGUGGGAUGAAGGUUUUAGGAUUGUAAACCACUGUUGUUGGAGAAGAUUAUGACGGUAACUAACGAAUAAGCACCGGCUAACUACGUGCCAGCAGCCGCGGUAAUACGGAGGGUGCAAGCGUUACUCGGAAUUACUGGGCGUAAAGAGUGCGUAGGCGGGGUUAUAAGUCAGACGUGAAAUCCACUAGCUUAACUUGAGAACUGCGUUUGAAACUGUGGGGCUGGAGUGUGGGAGAGGUAGGCGGAAUUCCUGGUGUAGGGGUAAAAUGCGUAGAGAUCAAGAGGAACACUAGUGGCGAAGGCGACCUGCUGGAACUUUACUGACGCUGAGGCACGAAAGCGUGGGUAGCAAACAGGAUUAGAUACCCUAGUAGUC
rnacentral:rRNA from 1 species